rnacentral:pre_miRNA from 1 species
CCCACACCCAUGUGUGUAGGACCCCAAAGGAUCACCAUUAAAUUUUACACAGAUCUCUAGAAAAAUUAUCAAAUGGGUGUGAGACUUGAUUUUUUUAGAGAUCUGUGCUAAAUUUAAUAGUGAUCCUUUGGGGUCUUACACACAUGGGUGUGAG